GAUGAACGCUGGCGGCGUGCCUAAUACAUGCAAGUCGAGCGAACGGACGAGAAGCUUGCUUCUCUGAUGUUAGCGGCGGACGGGUGAGUAACACAUGGAUAACCUACCUAUAAGACUGGGAUAACUUCGGGAAACCGGAGCUAAUACCGGAUGAUAUUUUGAACCGCAUGGUUCAAAAGUGAAAGACGGUCUUGCUGUCACUUAUAGAUGGAUCCGCGCUGCAUUAGCUAGUUGGUAAGGUAACGGCUUACCAAGGCAACGAUGCAUAGCCGACCUGAGAGGGUGAUCGGCCACACUGGAACUGAGACACGGUCCAGACUCCUACGGGAGGCAGCAGUAGGGAAUCUUCCGCAAUGGGCGAAAGCCUGACGGAGCAACGCCGCGUGAGUGAUGAAGGUCUUCGGAUCGUAAAACUCUGUUAUUAGGGAAGAACAUAUGUGUAAGUAACUGUGCACAUCUUGACGGUACCUAAUCAGAAAGCCACGGCUAGCUACGUG
rnacentral:rRNA from 1 species